UCGUGGUGGAAGAGUUGGUAGCCCUGCACAUGGCCAUCCGAGAAUUACGUCAUAGGUGGGCACAAGCCACAGUCAUUCGCCGGCGCCUCCCUGCAGUCUUAGGUAGCAGCGGCGAUGCGUAGUGCUGUUGCUUUGUACUGAGUGAGCGUGAAAGAACCCUCGUGACGAUAUAUGGUGAUGGACGUGUGGGCCUUUAUGUUGUGGAAAUAGUUGAGGGGCGGGGAACACUUAAUGGGUGGAUGACCAUCAUCAGGACCGCCAUUCCACCACAUUCAUGGCCAUCCUACCCGCGCUCAUCCAGUCACGUCCCCAUAGUGCAGCGCCCCUCAUCUGUAUGUAUGCUGAAGAGACACGGAAAAAUGAACACUCGUGUCUCUGUGAAAUAUUGUGCGCCAUAAAGUCUCUUGUCCUCUA